UAUCAAACUUAGUGGCGCACGGGUGCGUAACGCGUAUGCAACCUACCUUCAACUGGAGAAUAGCCCCUCGAAAGAGGGAUUAAUACUCCAUAGUAAUUAGAUAAGGCAUCUUAUUUAGUUUAAAGUUCCGGCGGUUGAAGAUGGGCAUGCGUGACAUUAGCUAGUUGGUGAGGUAACGGCUCACCAAGGCUACGAUGUCUAGGGGUUCUGAGAGGAUGAUCCCCCACACUGGUACUGAGACACGGACCAGACUCCUACGGGAGGCAGCAGUAAGGAAUAUUGGUCAAUGGACGCAAGUCUGAACCAGCCAUGCCGCGUGAAGGAUGACGGCCCUAUGGGUUGUAAACUUCUUUUGUACGGGAAUAAACCCUUCUACGUGUAGAAGGCUGAAUGUACCGUAAGAAUAAGGAUCGGCUAACUCCGUGCCAGCAGCCGCGGUAAUACGGAGGAUCCAAGCGUUAUCCGGAUUCAUUGGGUUUAAAGGGUGCGUAGGCGGAUUUGUAAGUCAGUGGUGAAAGCCUGCAGCUCAACUGCAGAACUGCCAUUGAUACUGCAAGUCUUGAGUACACUUGACGUGGGCGGAAUGUGUCAUGUAGCGGUGAAAUGCUUAGAUAUGACACAGAACACCGAUUGCGAAGGCAGCUCACGAAAUUGUAACUGACGCCGAGGCACGACAGCGUGGGGAUCAAACAGGAUUAGAUACCCUGGUAGUCCACGCCGUAAACUAUGAAUACUCGAUGUUGGCGAUAUACUGUCAGCGUCUAAGC
rnacentral:rRNA from 1 species